GGAUAGCGGAGAAAUUCCAAUCGAACUCGGAGAUAGCUGGUUCUCCUCGAAAUAGCUUUAGGGCUAGCCUUGAGGUAAAGACGUAUGGGGGUAGAGCACUGAAUGAGCUAGGGGCCUAACCAGGUUACUGAACUCUAUCAAACUACGAAUACCAUAUUGUUAUACUCAGGAGUCAGACUGCGGGAGCUAAGUUCCGUGGUCAAAAGGGAAAGAGCCCAGAUCGUCAAUUAAGGUCCCAAAGAUAUAGCUAAGUGGAAAACGAUGUGAUUUUGCGUAAACAACCAGGAUGUUGGCUCAGAAGCAGCCACUCAUUCAAAGAGUGCGUAACAGCUCACUGGUCGAGUGAAAUUGCGCGGAAAAUUACCGGGGCUAAGCUAUACACCGAAAUUGCGGAUUCAAGGAUUUAUCCUUGAGUGGUAGAGGAGCAUUCUGUUGUAGGUUGAAGUAUGACCGUAAGGACAUGUGGACGAAGCAGAAGAGAGAAUGCUGGAAUAAGUAGCGAGAGCAAGGUGAGAAUCCUUGCCGUCGAAAGUCUAAGGUUUCCUGGGGAAGGUUCGUCCGCCCAGGGUUAGUCGGGACCUAAGGAGAGGCCGAGAGGCGUAUCUGAUGGACAGCAGGUUGAUAUUCCUGCACUAUAGAUAUACUUAAAAGAUGCAAGGGACGCAGAAGUGGAAGGAAUGCGAGGAAGAGGAAAAACUCGUAUCGAAAGAUAUAGUGAAAAUAAAGUAACGAAUUUCCAAGAAGCACGCUGACGAGAAAAGCUUGUAGAUAUUGUAUAUAAAUACCCGUACCGCAAACCGACACAGGUAGAUGAGGAGAGGAUCCUAAGACGAGCGGGAGAAGCAUUGUUAAGGAACUCGGCAAAUUGACCCCGUAACUUCGGAAUAAGGGGUGCCUAUGUAAAAGUAGGCCGCAGAGAAUAGGCCCAAGCAACUGUUUAACAAAAACACAGGUUUCUGCUAAAUCGAAAGAUGAAGUAUAGGAGCUGACGCCUGCCCAGUGCUGGAAGGUUAAGGGGAAGAGUUAAGACUUGAUCUGAAGCUUAGAACCAAAGCCCCAGUGAACGGCGGCCGUAACUAUAACGGUCCUAAGGUAGCGAAAUUCCUUGUCAGGUAAGUUCUGACCCGCACGAAAGGCGUAAUGAUUUGGGCACUGUCUCGACAAUGUACCCGGCGAAAUUGUAGUACUAGUGAAGAUGCUAGUUACCUGCGACAAGACAGAAAGACCCCAUGGAGCUUUACUGCAGCUUGAUACUGGGUUUCGGUAAUUUAUGUACAGGAUAGGUGGGAGACUAUGAAGUUAUGGCGUCAGCCGUAAUGGAGUCACCGUUGGGAUACCACCCUUAAGUUAUUGGAAUUCUAACUUGUGAUCAUGAACUGGUCAGAGGACAAUGUCAGGCGGGCAGUUUGACUGGGGCGGUCGCCUCCUAAAGAGUAACGGAGGCGCCCAAAGGUUUCCUCAGCGCGGACAGAAAUCGCGCGAAAGAGUGCAAAGGCAGAAGGAAGCUUAACUGAGAGACAGACAUGUCGACCAGAUACGAAAGUAGGUCUUAGUGAUCCGGUGGUUGUAAGUGGAAAUGCCAUCGCUCAACGGACAAAAGUUACCCUGGGGAUAACAGGCUUAUCUCCCCCAAGAGUUCACAUCGACGGGGAGGUUUGGCACCUCGAUGUCGGCUCAUCGCAUCCUGGAGCGGAAGUACGUUCCAAGGGUUGGGCUGUUCGCCCAUUAAAGCGGUACGCGAGCUGGGUUCAGAA
rnacentral:rRNA from 1 species